rnacentral:sRNA from 1 species
GCUGGGUGUGGUGGUGCAUAGCUGCAAUCCCAGUAACUGGGGAGGCUGAGGCAGGAGGACCUUGAGUUUAAGGCCAGCCUGGGCAACUUAGUGAGGUCCCAAACAACUUAGUGAGACGCUGUCCCAAAAAUAAAUGAAAAGGGCUGGGGAUGUAGCUCAGUGGUCAAGCACUCUGCCAUUGAGCUACAUAUUCCAGCUUUUAUAAAAUUUGAAACAGUCUCAUUAAAUUGCUAAGGCUGGCCUCCAACUUGUAAUCCUCCUGCCUC